CCUACGGGAGGCAGCAGUGGGGAAUAUUGGGCAAUGGAGGCAACUCUGACCCAGCAACGCCGCGUGAAUGAUGAAGGUCUUCGGAUUGUAAAGUUCUGUGAUGGGGGAGGAACACAAGGACGGUACCGCAAUAGCAAGCGACGGCUAACUAGGUGCCAGCAGCCGCGGUAAUACGUAGGUGGCAAUAGUGAUCCGGAUUGACUGGGCGUAAGGGUUGCGUAGGUGGUUUAGUAAGUUGGCGGUGUAAUUCCGGGGCUUAACCUCGGCGCUGCAGCAAAAACUGUUAUACUAGAGUGCGGGAGAGGUAAGUGGAAUUCCUAGUGUAGCGGUGGAAUGCGUAGAUAUUAGGAGGAACAUCAGGGGCGAAGGCGACUUUCUGGACUGUAACUGACGCUGAGGCACGAAAGCGUGGGGAGCAAACAGGAUUAGAUACCCGGGUAGUC
rnacentral:rRNA from 1 species